rnacentral:rRNA from 1 species
CAGUAGCCGCGGUAAAACGAAGGGUGCAAGCGUUACUCGGAAUUACUGGGCGUAAAGCGUGCGUAGGUGGUGAGUUAAGUCUGCUGUGAAAUCCCCGGGCUCAACCUGGGAAUGGCAGUGGAUACUGGCUCGCUAGAGUGUGUCAGAGGAUGGUGGAAUUCCCGGUGUAGCGGUGAAAUGCGUAGAGAUCGGGAGGAACAUCAGUGGCGAAGGCGGCCAUCUGGGACAACACUGACGCUGAGGCACGAAAGCGUGGGGAGCAAACAGGAUUAGAUACCCGGGUAGUCCCUGUCUCUUAUAC